GACGAACGCUGGCGGCGUGCCUAAUACAUGCAAGUCGAGCGGACUUGACGGAGCUUGCUCUGUUCAAGUCAGCGGCGGACGGGUGAGUAACACGUGGGUAACCUGCCUGUAAGACUGGGAUAACUCCGGGAAACCGGGGCUAAUACCGGAUAACAUCAAGAGCUGCAUGGCUUUUGAUUGAAAGACGGCUUCGGCUGUCACUUACAGAUGGACCCGCGGCGCAUUAGCUAGUUGGUGGGGUAACGGCUCACCAAGGCAACGAUGCGUAGCCGACCUGAGAGGGUGAUCGGCCACACUGGGACUGAGACACGGCCCAGACUCCUACGGGAGGCAGCAGUAGGGAAUCUUCCGCAAUGGACGAAAGUCUGACGGAGCAACGCCGCGUGAGUGAAGAAGGUUUUCGGAUCGUAAAACUCUGUUGUCAGGGAAGAACAAGUACGGUAGUAACUGCCCGUACCUUGACGGUACCUGGCCAGAAAGCCACGGCUAACUACGUGCCAGCCGCCGCAGUAAAAC
rnacentral:rRNA from 1 species